UUUUUUCAUUAAUGUUUCUAUGGUUUGGGAAAGUCCAGUCUUUGGCUUUGGCUUUGGCUUUGCCUUGCAUGCCACAUUGAAUCUCUAUUUUCUCUAUAACUCAUUAUCGUCAAUCAAUUUCUUAUCAUUAAUUUCUGAUGUGUACAGUUGGUUUAAUCUCGGUGAUGAAGACUAAAAAAGAACUACCUUUUGCAAUACAUGCAUGUUUGCUAGAAAGGGUUUGCAAAGAGGAAUUUAGAUGAGUAUGUAUUUCUUGGCAAUCGGCUGCAGGUGUAUAUGCACCUUAGUUUGAGAGAUUUUUGGAUACCAAGAAGAAACUGAAGGUCGGGAGAAAUGAAGUCCUCAACCAAAUAAGAUGUAUGGUUUCACCAUUUUCUAAAAAAAUCUGCAUCUUAUAAUUUAGUGUUGUGAUGAUAAAAAUAAUAAGAAUUUGCAGUUAGGGAAGGAGGUCCAGGUUGAAGGACAAUAAAAAAUGAUGUAGUGUAGCAUGUCUAAUUUUUCAAUUCGAACCAUUUAAAUGUAGAUUCAUGUGUAUUGUUUCCUUAUCAUUGUUAUAAAGAAAUUCCAACGGUACUUGAGCACUC